UGGCAACACUGGCUGUUGUGCUGUCGUGUGCUUUUGUAACUAAAACUCCGUUUUGACAUCACUUUCAUCAUAAUCUGAAUUAAAUAAUAAUAAUAUAAAACAACAAAAACAAAAAUAAAAAUAUAAAAAAAUAAAAACACCAUCGAAAACGAAUCAAAAAAUAAGAAAAUAAUACACAAAUAAAUAAAAUCGCAAGUUACAGCAAAAAAGAGGGAAAGGAAAUAAAUACAAAAUUCAACAAUUACUUAGCUCAAAAAAAGGCAACGAGGGCAAAAACGAAAGAUUCUGCCAUCAACUUUUUAGUUUUUUGUUUUUGGUUUUGCUUUGCAAAGAAAAAACAUAUUUCAAAUAAAAACAAAACGCCGAUCCAAAAAUUUAACGGGCCUACGGUCCCGUGGGUGUGAGCGAGAGAGAGAGAGGGAGACAAAGCGACUGCGCAAAUAAAUAAAUAAAAAAAUAAAACAAAACAAACAACAAGCCAAGCUUGAAACGAAGACUUUCAAAUAAAACAACAAAAACCAACAACAACAAAACAAACCAAACAAAUUGAAACGCUGUGAAAUUAACUCGUCAAUACUCAAAAGCACCAACAAAAAAUACGAAAAAAAACAACAACAGAAGAAAGAAGAAAGCAUACUAGGAGAAAGGAGAUAAAGAGAGGAGCCAGUAAAACGGAGUUGCAACAUAAAUCCAUGGAAAGGAAAGGAAAAGCGGCAAGAAGAAGCACUGAAAGGCAAACGGAAAACUAAGAGGAAACCAGCGCUGCGGCGUCUCGAAUAAAAAAAUAUUUAAAAAAAAUAAUAAUUAAAAGCCAAUAAAACCAUAAAGAAACUGUAAAAAAAAAAGCUAAAAAACAAAAAUCAAUCCCAAAAUUCCUCAUUAUUUUUCCUGAAAAAGCU